rnacentral:rRNA from 1 species
ACACGAGGAAACUUGUGCUAAUACCGAAUAAGCCCUUACGGGGAAAGUUUUAAUGCCGAAAGAUGAGCCCGCACUUGAUUAGCUAGUUGGUAAGGUAAAAGCUUACCAAGGCAACGAUCAAUAGCUGUUCUUAGAGGAAGACCAGCCACAUUGGGACUGAGACACGGCCCAGACUCCUACGGGAGGCAGCAGUGGGGAAUCUUGCACAAUGGGGGAAACCCUGAUGCAGCGAUGCCGCGUGAGUGAAGAAGGCCCUUGGGUUGUAAAACUCUUUCGUCGGGGAAGAAAAUGACUGUACCCGAAUAAGAAGGUCCGG